CAGCCGCCGCGGUAAUACGUAGGGUGCGAGCGUUAAUCGGAAUUACUGGGCGUAAAGCGUGCGCAGGCGGUUAUAUAAGACAGAUGUGAAAUCCCCGGGCUCAACCUGGGACCUGCAUUUGUGACUGUAUAGCUAGAGUACGGUAGAGGGGGAUGGAAUUCCGCGUGUAGCAGUGAAAUGUGUAGAUAUGCGGAGGAACACCGAUGGCGAAGGCAGCCCCCUGGGCCAACACUGACGCUCAUGCACGAAAGCGUGGGGAGCAAACAGGAUUAGAUACCCCCGUAGUCCCUGUCUCUUAUAC
rnacentral:rRNA from 1 species